GUUAAAAAGCUCGUAGUCGGAUUUCAGUUUGAUGUUUUGUAUUCUCUACGAAUUCAAAACGUCAAUCUUCAUUGAUGUGACCCUUCGUGUCUUUAAUUAGGCGUGUCUGGCUAACAUCUCUUUUACUUUGAGAAAAUUAGAGUGUUCAAAGCAGGUCCUCGCCUGAAUAUUACUCUUGGAAUAAUAUCAUAGGACUUUGGUUCUAAUUUGUUGGUGACUUGGGACCGGAGUAAUGAUUGAUAGGGACGGUUGGGGCCAUUCAUACUGCAAAGCGAGAGGUGAAAUUCUUGGACCUUUGUAUGAUGAACAACUGCGAAAGCAUUUGGCUAGGACGUUCCCGUUGAUCAAGAACGAAAGUUGGGGGAUCGAAGACGAUCAGAUACCGUCGUAGUCUCAACCAUAAACUAUGCCAGCUAGGGAUGGGAAGGUGUUUAAUAACGACCCUUUCCGCACCUUACGAGAAAUUAAAGCGUUUGGGUUCCGGGGGGAGUAUGGUCGCAAGGCUGAAACUUAAAGGAAUUGACGGGAGGGCACCACCAGGAGUGGAGCCUGUGGCUUAAUUUGACUCAACACGGGAAAACUUACCAGGUCCGGACAUAGGAAGGAUUGACAGAUUGAAAGCUCUUUCU
rnacentral:rRNA from 1 species